UAAUAGACGUAUGUUCGCAAUCUGUUAUUCCUAUAUAGAUGGUUUAAUGUUGAGCUACCGCUCCGUUUUAAUCGCCUUUCAUAUUCCUUAUCCCUAGAAGAGUAAUUAUUUACACUCGCUUAUGCGAAGAUGAUUCUGGGAGAAACCAUGAAAGUGACAUAAU
rnacentral:snRNA from 1 species